rnacentral:antisense_RNA from 1 species
ACACAGCCCUCAGCCCAGAGCCCAGGGCAAAGCUGAAGGGAGGCCAGGGACCUCACUGGGCUGGGCAGGUGCAGGCCACUCCCGUCCCAGUGCCCUCAGAGGCACCUAGACUCAUGUGGACCCAGCCGCAGACCCUUCUGGGCAGUUCUGUCCAGGCCGGCCCUGCCCUCUGACCUGGGGCCGCAGGGGCUGGCCACUGUGGGCUCGGUUCCCUGCCACCCCGAUUCAUCUGCACCCCAAGGAAAGAGAAUGAGGGGUUGCAGUGCCCCAGGACCCACGAGCCCCCGAACACCAGGGCAGCACAUACUUCCAGUCCCAGGGCCACAGCAGAGCAGGGCCAGGCCCAGCCCAGUGACGCAGGGCAGACGGAAGGGCGCCCUCCACAAUGGAGGGGCGCAGGAGCUGCCGCGGCCAGGACAAACCAACCUCAGGCUGACAUAGGCCGGUAAUGGGUUUAACGCAUCAGGUGCAGAAGAGAAACACCCCACAAAUCAGGGAGAGGAGGGAAGCCGCCCACCCCAUGGGAGGAAGCUGAGGAGUGAACGCCAGGGACGGGCGGGGCAGGUCCUCAGAGCACCGCAGACAUCAGACCAAGGGCAACUGUCAUCACCACGAGAAGGCCUCGUCCACGGCAGAAGCCAACCUCACCACGCCGACUGCACCAGAGACACCCACGAGGAGAGCCGGCCUCCGAGAACGCAGCUGAGCCAUCACAGGUCGCCAUCAGCAAAGGCAACGAUCCAGAUUAUGCAAACGGAGGCAAGGCUGCCAUGGACUCCAGAGCCUCAGAUGCCAUCAACAAAAGCAAAGUGGACACAUCUGCAUCAAAUCCAUCACAAAGACGGCCUUCGAGACUCUGGGGGAAACGGAGUCUCGCUCUGCCACCCAGACUGGAGUGCCUUUUCCCCUCACCGUGUGGGAGUCGCCGGGCGACGUCCCGCCCCGGUUUCCCUCCACCCGAAGGCAGUCACCUCGGUUGCCAGCUCCUGCCUCUGUGAUCUGUGAUGAUCCCCACAAGGGGUGCAGAGUGAAGGGCACAGCGGGGUUCGGCCUAAUUCCCUGGGGAGCCCCAGGCGAGAGGGCUUGGUCCUGGGGAGCUGCCCAGGUCUUCUACACCCCCUGGCCUCCAUCCAGCCCCGCACGACUCGGCUCCUGGCCCUGUGCACCGGGCGACGCCUGCUAGGCGCGUGCCCCUCAGAGUCAGGCCUGUAUUCACCUCAGCUUUUAUCAAGGGCCUUCAAGGAUUGGGUUUUUUAAAUCAUCAUCAAAUAUACUGUUAUUAAAAAGAUACGUAC